rnacentral:rRNA from 1 species
AGAAUCAACGCUGGCGGCGUGCCUAACACAUGCAAGUCGAGCGCGAAAGGGGAGCAAUCCCCAAGUAGAGCGGCGAACGGGUGAGUAACGCGUGGGUAAUCUACCUCCGAGUGGGGAACAACAGCGGGAAACUGCUGCUAAUACCGCAUGACAUCGUCGAGCCCUAGGGCAUGACGAUCAAAGCCGGGACCGCAAGGCCUGGCGCUUGGAGACGAGCCCGCGUCCGAUUAGCUAGUUGGCGGGGUAAUGGCCCACCAAGGCUCCGAUCGGUA